rnacentral:antisense_RNA from 1 species
CCUUUGCUGUUCUCAAGGCUGGCACUGAGGUUGGCAAAAGUUCCAAGCAGGGCUCCAACUCCAGAACAAACCUUUCUCCAACCCCUGAAGCUGUGCAGCUAUACUUUACCGGUUACGUCUAGACUAUAAGGGACCACAGUGUUCCAUCUCAGGCAGGUUCAGCGACCUGCAAGUAGUGAUACAGCUGGGAAAGUUACAGAGCCUGCGGGACGCUCCCGCUGCAACUUCAGUUCCGACCAGAGGUUCUGCGAACCUCCAGGAUUUAGCAGGUUUCCAGGACCGGUGGGUGAAUCUACCCGGGGAAGUUUUGGUGGACAAGAGCUGCUCCCCAGCUGUCGGAGUGGGAGAGGCCAGCGUGCUGGCUCCAUCCACUUCACCUAACACCUCUGAAGUGUCUGCCCUGCAGUGUGGCAAGCGUGGUGCUGAGCGCUUCUAAAUCCGUCGCUUUAAAGAUCAUUAGUACAAUGUUGUGAGAGGGUUAGCUCCAUUUGAAAAUUAUUUUCCCGCGAUUACAAAAGAAGUGAUGCUUACUGCAGAAGUUAGAACUGGGAGAAGACUCAUCACCCCCAUGAUCAUGUCAACAACUGCCCUCCUUCAGUUUUGGUUUGUUUUGUGUGUACACUUUGUCAUCUUUCCAUUGAGGAAACUCAGGCUAGAAGGAGGAUAAAAACAAAACAGAAAACAAAACAAAACAAAAGUGCCCUGUAGGGUCCUGUAGGUCAGUGUUUCUCACAUUUUAAUGUGGUUGCGGUUCUGAUACAGUGGGUCUGGGGC